rnacentral:rRNA from 1 species
CAGUAGCCGCGGUAAUACGUAGGUGGCAAGCGUUGUCCGGGAUUAUUGGGCGUAAAGGGCUCGCAGGCGGUUUCUUAAGUCUGAUGUGAAAGCCCCCGGCUCAACCGGGGAGGGUCAUUGGAAACUGGGAAACUUGAGUGCAGAAGAGGAGAGUGGAAUUCCACGUGUAGCGGUGAAGUGCGUAGAGAUGUGGAGGAACACCAGUGGCGAAGGCGACUCUCUGGUCUGUAACUGACGCUGAGGAGCGAAAGCGUGGGGAGCGAACAGGAUUAGAUACCCCGGUAGUCCCUGUCUCUUAUAC